rnacentral:tRNA from 1 species
GGUUGGAUAGCUCAGUUGGUAGAGCACUAGACUCUUAAUCUCAGGGCUGUGAGUUCAAGCCCCACAUUGGGCA